rnacentral:lncRNA from 1 species
ACAGACAUGAGCUUGAGUGAGCAAGCGGAAUCCACCUUCCUCGGCGUCUUCUCUCUUUGGCGAGAGUGGAAACCAACACCACGUUCAACCCCGCUGCCCCCCUGCAAGCCCAGUUCAGACCCUGACGCGGGCGGAAAGGGGGGCGGUGGAUUCCAGAAGGUUCCACGCAGGAAGCGUCUCCACGGGCCCGUGCAGAGGGGCUCCUCCGGGCGGCCCCAGCGGCGCCUUCUCCGGCCGGGUCCCCUUCUCCUGGGAGCCUGGGCGUGGUCUCCCGUGUCCGGAGCUGCGUCCUUCCUUGCGCUCCACGAAGGUGCCUAAAGGUAAAGUGAACUCAACAGACGGGGCGGGGCGGGGGCGUCUGGAAUUUACCCGCACGUGGGAGCCCCCCGUCCCCUGCGGCCUGGGAUGGGGUGGGAAGGGUGCUCGCCCGUAGGUGCUGGGCGCCCGCCGCAGGCCCCUCCCCAGACUUUAAGGCAGGCGAUUCUUGGCACGAGGAAUCCUGGCCGCAGAGAGGGGCAGCUCAGUUCUCGGCCGCAGGGGCCGUCCUGCCAGCGGGUGGGGUUGGUUUUGGAGAGGGUGGGGGACCGUAAGGAUCCGGCUUGAUGUGGGUUUUUGGCGACUUUGGAAAGGGCUGAGGUCCCUGGGGAGGGGGCCG